rnacentral:rRNA from 1 species
GACGAACGCUGGCGGCGUGCCUAAUACAUGCAAGUAGAACGCUGAAGAGAGGAGCUUGCUCUUCGUGGAUGAGUUGCGAACGGGUGAGUAACGCGUAGGUAACCUGUCUUGUAGCGGGGGAUAACUAUUGGAAACGAUAGCUAAUACCGCAUAACAAUGGAUGACACAUGUCAUUUAUGUGAAAGGGGCAGUUGCUCCACUGAAAGAUGGAUCUGCGUCGGAUUAGCUUGUAGGUGAGGUAACGGCUCACCUAGGCGACGAGCCAGAGCUGAGCUGAGAGGAGGACAGGCCACACUGGGACUGGGACACGGCCCAGACGCCUACGGGAGGCAGCAGUGGGGAAUAUUUGACAAGGGGCGCAAGCCUGAUCCAGCCAUGCCGCGUGAGUGAUGAAGGCCUUAGGGUUGGAAAGCUCUGUUGUCCGGGACGAUAAUGACGGUACCGGAAGAAUAAGCCCCGGCUAACUUCGUG